rnacentral:rRNA from 1 species
UACAGAGGGUGCGAGCGUUAAUCGGAAUUACUGGGCGUAAAGCGUGCGUAGACGGUUAUUUAAGUCGGAUGUGAAAUCCCCGGGCUUAACCUGGGAACUGCAUUUGUGACUGCAUGGCUAGGGUGCGGCAGAGGGGGAUGGAAUUCCGCGUGUAGCAGUGAAAUGCGUAGAUAUGCGGAGGAACACCGAUGGCGAAGGCAAUCCCCUGGGCCUGCACUGACGCUCAUGCACGAAAGCGUGGGGAGCAAACAGG